rnacentral:rRNA from 1 species
GACGAACGCUGGCGGCGUGCCUAAUACAUGCAAGUCGAACGCAGUGGGGACGGGUGAGUAACACGUGGGUAACCUGCCAUCAGAGGGGAUAACACUUGGAAACAGCUGCUAAACCGAUAUUGAUGGAUGGACCCGCGGUGCAUUAGCUAGUUUGUGAGGUAACGGCUCACCAAGGCCACGAUCCAUAGCCGCCCUGAGAGGUGGAUCGGCCCAACUGGGAUGGAGACACGGCCCAGACUCCUACGGGAGGCAGCAGUAGGGAAUCUUCGGCAAUGGGCGCAAGCCUGAUGCAGCCAUGCCGCGUGUAUGAAGAAGGCCUUCGGGUUGUAAAGUACUUUCAGCGGGGAGGCGUUACCCGCAGAAGAAGCACCGGCUAACUCCGUGCCAGCAGCCGCGGUAAUUC